rnacentral:misc_RNA from 1 species
AACGCACGAGACCUGCGGACCUGCGGAGGGAUCAUUACCGAGUUUACAACUCCCAAACCCAAUGUGAACGUUACCAAACUGUUGCCUCGGCGGGAUCUUCUGCCCCGGGUGCGUCGCAGCCCCGGACCAAGGCGCCCGCCGGAGGACCAACCAAAAACUCUUUUUGUAUACCCCCUCGCGGGUUUUUUAUAUCUGAGCCUUUCUCGGCGCCCCUUCGUGGGCGUUUCGAAAAUGAAUCAA